rnacentral:rRNA from 1 species
AUUGAACGCUGGCGGCAUGCUUUACACAUGCAAGUCGAACGGUAACAGGCCUUCGGGUGCUGACGAGUGGCGAACGGGUGAGUAAUGCAUCGGAACGUGCCCAGAGGUGGGGGAUAACGCAGCGAAAGCUGUGCUAAUACCGCAUGUGAUCUGAGGAUGAAAGCGGGGGACCAGGCAGCAAUGUUUGGCCUCGCGCCUUUGGAGCGGCCGAUGUCAGAUUAGGUAGUUGGUGGGGUAAAGGCCUACCAAGCCGACGAUCUGUAGCUGGUCUGAGAGGACGACCAGCCACACUGGGACUGAGACACGGCCCAGACUCCUACGGGAGGCAGCAGUGGGGAAUUUUGGACAAUGGGCGCAAGCCUGAUCCAGCAAUGCUGCGUGCGGGAAGAAGGCCUUCGGGUUGUAAACCGCUUUUGUACGGAACGAAAAGGCUCUGGCUAAUACCUGGGGCUGAUGACGGUACCGUAAGAAUAAGCACCGGCUAACUACGUG